GUCUCUGGAAAUCUAAUCUUCUUCUUCUGCUGCUGCUGCUGCAUUUUCUUUUUCUUUCUUGCCAAGUUUGAAUUCGCCAUAGAAGUACGAGGCAAAGCCCCAGAGAGAGAGGAUCAGGGACACUGCCUUCUCCACCUGGAACUUCUCCUGGAAGAAUAUGACCCCUAGGAUCUCCGUGAUCGGGAGGA